rnacentral:rRNA from 1 species
CUGGCGGCGUGCCUAACACAUGCAAGUCGAACGAGAAAGUGGAGCAAUCCAUGAGUAAAGUGGCGACCGGGUGAGUAACACGUGACUAACCUGCCCUCGAGUGGGGAAUAACCCCGGGAAACCGGGGCUAAUACCGCAUAACAUCGCAAGAUCAAAGCCGAAAGGCGCUUGAGGAGGGGGUCGCGGCUGAUUAGCUAGUUGGUAGGGUAACGGCCUACCAAGGCCAAGAUCGGUAGCCGGCCUGAGAGGGCGCACGGCCACACUGGAACUGAAACACGGUCCAGACUCCUACGGGAGGCAGCAGUGGGGAAUUUUGCGCAAUGGGGGAAACCCUGACGCAGCAACGCCGCGUGGAGGAUGAAGUCCUUUGGGACGUAAACUCCUUUCGACCCGGACGAUACUGACGGUACGGGUGGAAGAAGCACCGGCUAACUCUGUGCCAGCAGCCGCGGUAAUACAGAGGGUGCGAGCGUUGUUCGGAAUUAUUGGGCGUAAAGGGCGCGUAUGCGGUGCGGUAAGUCACCUGUGAAAUCUCCUGGCUCAACUGGGAGCUUGCAGGCGAAACUGCCGUGCU